GUGACGAUGCGUCGGACAAACAACAUUGGGAUAAGAUACAGCCUUGAGCCUUGGCAAGUUAACACAUUAGUUAGGGUUAUGAAGUUUUUCAUGGCACCGACACAUUAUUGAGCAGUAGCGCAUCAGACUCCUUCCCCUACAAGGAACUCUUGAAUGGGAUCCUAUGAGAAGUUGAAGGAAAGAUCUUAUUCCAGUGAUUAAUAUCUGCUUAAGUAACC